UCGAACUUGUGUUAAGAAUGACCAAACUACCUCAGAGACGAACCAAGGCAGCAGAGUUGAAAGGCACUGGGAAAACAGCUCCAUGCAAAGAACAAAGAAUUGGCCUGGGAUCAAGGAUGCCACAUUAAGGAAUAAUUGCAAGGCACAAGGGGAGUCAAAGAGGAUAAACUCUGUACGCAUGAGAUAUUUCUCUUAGAUUAAGUAAAGAAGAAAACAUUUACAAAUGCCAAGCAUUGGACAGUUAAAGACGCAGAAAGCGUAUGUGAGAUGGAACAACCAAGUCUCCAGAGGCCAAGAGGAGUAAUAGCACCCGUUUAAUUUAAUUAAAGAGCAUCAAAUAAAAGGUAAAAAUUAUCAAAUUUGUGGUCUCCUCACAUGUGAUUCAAGACUCGAAAACAAGCCUAUUCAUUAGGCUCUAACUGAAGAUAGUGAUGUACCUACACUCCCUUAAAGCUUCCUGAGAAAAGAACAUUCAGCAAGGUCAACUACAAAGAAGAAGCCUUGCCUCAGGGCUUAACUGAUGAGAGAUGGUAGGCUAAUUGACUAAGUGGUUAGCAGUCUGACGUUGUUCCCCACACCAGGGUUUAGUUUUGUUCACGUGAUGCUAUUGAGCCAAAAGUCCAAAGUUGGGAGAGAAUGCCAACCAAUCAUGAGGGCCUAUGUAGCAGUGUACUAUACAAUGUUGCAGAAGACAAUACACUCCUGUUAUUAUGCUAUUAAUCUGCAUUAUACAUAUUUACAGGUAGUUCGAGGCUUGGCUAGCAGAUAAGGGCCAAUUAUGUUACUAAGACCUAAACUAUAUAUAGGUAUACAUGUUCCCUUAACCAAUCCCUCCACCCGAUAGGUUUUUUAAUAUUUGCCACGUAGGAUGACAUCAUAGCUGACGUACAUCAAAGUACAAAGCUUUUGUAUAAUCAAAAUAUUGCUGAAGUGUGUGAUCUGCAGUUUGUUCACUAGGUUUCCCUACUUUUUUCAAGCUGAUAAUAAGGUAGUAUUUUGCCAUAUUCUUUGAGUCUGUACUGUUGUUUGGGUCUGAGAUCGUUUAUUGGUAAUUCAAUCUGGCACUUGGAACACUCCAGGUGCUAUUGCACACAGCCACGUGGGGCUAAGCUGCGAUGGGUAGGAGGGCCACUGUGGUACACACGGACACCUGAGGUGAGAGCACGGUGCAGCGGCCGCAGGUGUAGAUCUUGGUAGUACUAGCAAAUAUUCAAAUGAGAACUUUGAAUGUUGGAAUGGAGAAGGGUUCAAUGUGAACAGCAGUAGAACAUUGAUCAGUCGGUCCAAAAAGAUGGACAAGCGUCGUUCAGAAGGGACGGGCAAUGGCUUUUGUUGCCCUUUUGUAGCUCGAGUUGUAAAGGGAGUCAGGUUUUCUUUGUAAAGGGCAGGGCACUCUGGAAUGGGUUUGCCCCGAGAGAGGGGCCAUACCCUUGGAAAGCAUUAUGGUUACAAUGGUGUGUGGUGACUUCUCACUGGUCCUUGAAAAUCCAGGGGAGAUGGUGAAAUCUUGUGCAGGGCCGAACCCAUGCCUGUUGCGAGUCUUCAAGGUGAACAGCCUCUGGCAUGUUGAAACAAUCUUGGUAAGGGAUGUUGGCAAUUCAGAUCCAUAACUUCGGGAUCAGGAUCGGCUGAAGGGCUGUAUCAAUCAGGCUAGUGAGCAAAGCGGGGCUGGGCACUUACAACAACAUUACAAACCAUCUCCCCUGCUGGGGGCAGGCCAGGGCUAGUCGCGAGCCACACCCUUCCUGUGGAUCACCCCAGCUUCAGUGGUCGCCUCUCUCUGUUCCCCUCCUGAGGUUCGGGGCCGGCAUUCUGCCUCGGCUGACACCUAGCAGCUGACUUAGAACUGGUGCCAAUCAGGGACUGUUUAAUUAAAAAAAAGCAUCACGAAGGCCCAUCGCAGGUGUUGAUGCAAUGUCAUUCCUGCCCAGUGCUCUGAAUGUCAAAGUGAAGAAAUUCAAUGAAGCUGAGGUCACUGGUCGGGAGUAACUAGGAAUCUCUUAAGAUAGCCAAAUGCUUCGUUGUCUAAUUAGUGAUGCAAAUGAAUGAACAAGAUUCCCACUGUUCUUACCUAAUACAUAGUAAACCCACAGCCAGGGAAAUGGGCUCAGCGGGGAAAGAGCUUGGCUCUAGCCUGACACCGUGAAGAGACCGCUGGUGAAAUACCACUACUGUUAUAAUUUUUUUACUUACCAGUGGGGCAGGUGGGAGAGACUACUGGGCCUCUCACUUCUGGCUAAAAGUGCCUGGUGCCCGCCGGGCACAACCCACUCUGGAAAUAGUAGAAGAUGGGGAGUUUGACUGGGGCGGUACACCCAAAAGGGCGAGCUCAGGGAGGACAGAAACCUCCUGUGGAGCAGAAUGGCAAAAGUUUUCUUGUUCUCGAUUUUCAGUAUGAAGACACACAGUGAAAGCAUGAUCUUUUUGAUUUCUUGGGUUUCAACCAGGAGGUGUCAGAAAAGUUAGCACAGGGAUAGCUGGCUUGUGGCAGCAAAGCGUUCAUAGAAAUGUUGCUUUUGAUCCUUCAAUGUCGGCUCUUCCUAUCAUUAUGAAGCAGAAUUCACCAAGCAUUGUAUUGUUCACCCCACUAAUAGGGAACAUGAGCUGGGUUUAGACCGUCUUGAGACAGGUUAGUUUUACCCCACUGAUGAGUGGUUGUUGCAAUGGUAAUCCUUCUAAUUACAAGAGGAAAUGCAGGUUCAGACAUUUGGUGUAUGUGCUUGGCUGAGGAGCUAAUGUGGCGAAGCUACCAUCUGUGGGAUUAUGAUUGAAUGCCUCUUAGCCAGAAUCCCUGCGAAACUGUAGUGAUACCGCAGCACUGAGGAGUCUUGGGUGGCCUGGGAUAGCCAGCCUAUGGGCUGGUGUGUAGAGUCACUUGCAUCUGGACUCGAGUGUUGCCAGAAUGGGACACCUCUCCCGCCCGUAGUGUUUGU
rnacentral:rRNA from 1 species